AACAAGGCGUACCUGCGGACCUGCGGAGGGAUCAUUAACAAUUGUCCAUUUUCCUUUACAAAUAUGGAUGGUUCAAAUCCAUAUCCACCUUCUUGUGCACCUCAUUGACACGUUUGCUUUGGCAGUCUGCGGGAGAGGAGAGAGAUCCUUCGAUCGUUUCUCCGUGGAUGGGAAAAAGCGAUGGAAAGUUAUUCUUUUCUCACUUUUUUUUGUUCCCCUCCGGCGCUGCCAGAGUUUUUU
rnacentral:misc_RNA from 1 species